rnacentral:rRNA from 1 species
GACCGAGCACUGCCGCAGUAUUCUGACUGUGCUAAGGUAGCAUAAUCAUCUGUUACCUAAUUAGUAAACUGUAUGAAUGAGAUCCUGAGGAAGAAACUUUUAUAAUCAGGGCCAGAAAUUACCUGUAAGGUAAAAAGCCCUUACAACCCCAGAAGGACGAUAAGACCCUAGAACCUCUCUGGCCCCGCCAGUUGACUGGGAUGGUCCUGAAUAAACACUCGGUACCCGAACACCUUGAAUGACCCUAGUUCCCUUAAAGAAAUCAAUCAGGUACUCUAGGGAUAACAGCGUAAUCCCCUUCAAGAGUUCUUAUCGUAAAGGGGGCUUUCGACCUCGAUGUUGGAUUAAGAACACUCUAAGGAGCAGCCCCCUUAGCAGCAGGUCUGUUCGACCUAUAACACCUCACAUGAUCUGA